rnacentral:rRNA from 1 species
UACAGAGGUCCCGAGCGUUGUUCGGAUUCACUGGGCGUAAAGGGCUCGUAGGCGGUCUGUUGCGUCGGGAGUGAAAACUUACAGCUUAACUGUGAGCGUGCUUUCGAUACGGGCAGACUUGAGGCAUUCAGGGGAGAACGGAAUUCCUGGUGUAGCGGUGAAAUGCGCAGAUAUCAGGAGGAACACCGGUGGCGAAGGCGGUUCUCUGGGACGGUACUGACGCUGAGACGCGAAAGCGUGGGGAGCGAACAGG